GUGGUUAUAGCUCAGUUGGUAGAGCACUGGAUUGUGGCUCCAGUGGCCGUGGGUUCGAGUCCCAUUAACCACC
rnacentral:tRNA from 1 species